rnacentral:tRNA from 1 species
GAUGAAGUGCCUGAUUAAAGGAUGAUUUUGAUAGAAUCAAUUAAGUGCCCCCCCGACACCUUUAUCU